CCGGUUGAUCCUGCCGGACCUGACUGCUAUCGGAUUGAUACUAAGCCAUGCGAGUCAUUGUAGCAAUACAAGGCAGACGGCUCAGUAACGCGUAGUCAACCUAACCUAUGGACGGGAAUAACCUCGGGAAACUGAGAAUAAUGCCCGAUAGAACACUAUAUCUGGAAUGGUUUGUGUUCCAAAUGAUUUAUCGCCGUAGGAUGGGACUGCGGCCUAUCAGUUUGUUGGUGAGGUAAUGGCCCACCAAGACUAUUACAGGUACGGGCUCUGAGAGGAGUAGCCCGGAGAUGGGUACUGAGACACGGACCCAGGCCCUAUGGGGCGCAGCAGGCGAGAAAACUUUGCAAUGUGCGAAAGCACGACAAGGUUAAUCCGAGUGGUUUGUGCUAAACGAACCUUUUGUCGGUCCUAGAAACACCGAUGAAUAAGGGGUGGGCAAGUUCUGGUGUCAGCCGCCGCGGUAAAACCAGCACCUCAAGUGGUCAGGAUGGUUAUUGGGCCUAAAGCAUCCGUAGCCGGCGCUGUAAGUUUUCGGUUAAAUCUGUACGCUCAACGUACAGGCUGCCGGGAAUACUGCAGCGCUAGGGAGUGGGAGAGGUAGACGGUACUCGGUAGGAAGGGGUAAAAUCCUUUGAUCUAUUGAUGACCACCUGUGGCGAAGGCGGUCUACCAGAACACGUCCGACGGUGAGGGAUGAAAGCUGGGGGAGCAAACCGGAUUAGAUACCCGGGUAGUCCCAGCUGUAAACUAUGCAAACUCAGUGAUGCAUUGGCUUGUGGCCAAUGCAGUGCUGCAGGGAAGCCGUUAAGUUUGCCGCCUGGGAAGUACGUACGCAAGUAUGAAACUUAAAGGAAUUGGCGGGGGAGCACCACAAGGGGUGAAGCCUGCGGUUCAAUUGGAUUCAACGCCGGAU
rnacentral:rRNA from 1 species